CCUACGGGUGGCUGCAGUGAGGAAUAUUGGUCAAUGGUCGGGAGCCUGAACCAGCCAAGUCGCGUGAGGGAAUAAGGCCCUACGGGUCGUAAACCUCUUUUGUCAGGGAACAAGGACUGGGACGCGUCCCCGCAUGGGUGUACCUCAGGAAAAAGCAUCGGCUAACGCCGUGCCAGCCGCCGCGGUAAUACGGGGGAUGCGAGCGUUAUCCGGAUUUAUUGGGUUUAAGGGGUGCGGAGGGGGGCUGUUAAGUCAGCGGUAAAAGUUCGGGGCUCAACCCCGGCCCGCCGUUGAAACUGGCAGCCUCGAGUGGGCGAGAAGAAGGCGGAAUGCGUGGUGUAGCGGUGAAAUGCAUAGAUAUCGCGCAGAACCCCGAUUGCGAAGGCAGCCUUCCGGCGCCCUACUGACGCUGAGGCACGAAAGUGUGGGGAUCGAACAGGAUUAGAUACCCGUGUAGUC
rnacentral:rRNA from 1 species